CAACUUAGUGCUUUGACUUACUCUGAAUUUUGAGUUCUAUUAGGAAAGGCGUUGAAGACAAGACGUCCUGAGAUGUCCAUGGGGUGUCACAGUGGAUGUGGCAUCGUUGGCAGAUGAUGACAACAUGGCUUAGGGGGGCCUCUGUGGCCAUUCAUCUUGGUGAGCAGAGAUCACAUUGCCACUUCUAAUGAUCAGACGAAAGCAUCUGUCUUGGCAUCCUGUCCCCUUCAGAACCCACACUGGAUUCAUUUUGUCUUCACAGCUCCCCUGGAGUGUCCUUCUGAGCCUCAUGCCAGCCCUCUGCCCAUGUGCGAACACAGGGGAGAGCAAUACAGUUACCGCAGAAAAUCAGAGAUUUCACAGAAACGAUGAUUUUUGAGCUGAGUGUUAACACA